rnacentral:rRNA from 1 species
CCUACGGGAGGCAGCAGUGAGGAAUAUUGGUCAAUGGGCGAGAGCCUGAACCAGCCAAGUCGCGUGAAGGAUGAAGGAUCUAUGGUUUGUCAACUUCUUUUAUAUGGGAAUAAAGUGAGGAACGUGUUCCUUUUUGUAUGUACCAUAUGAAUAAGCAUCGGCUAACUCCGUGCCAGCAGCCGCGGUAAUACGGAGGAUGCGAGCGUUAUCCGGAUUUAUUGGGUUUAAAGGGUGCGUAGGUGGUUAAUUAAGUCAGCGGGGAAAGUUUGUGGCUCAACCAUAAAAUUGCCGUUGAAACUGGUUGACUUGAGUAUAUUUGAGGUAGGCGGAAUGCGUGGGGUAGCGGUGAAAUGCAUAGAUAUCACGCAGAACUCCGAUUGCGAAGGCAGCAUGCCGGCUUCCUACUGACGCUGAAGCACGAAAGCGUGGGGAUCGAACAGGAUUAGAUACCCUUGUAGUC